GACAAUUACAUACAGUGAUUUAGAACUACAAAAUAAAAGCAGUGGAUGGUUCCUUUGUAAUGUUCACCAAAAUGGCUACUAUCGAGUUAACUAUCAAUUAUCCAACUGGCAAGCUUUGGCUAUGCAGCUGAAAACCAAUCAUUUGGUUAUACCAGUCAUAAAUAGGGCUCAACUCAUCAAUGAUGCAUGGAACUUGGCCAAAUCAGGUUCCUUAGACCUAGAGACUGCCUUCUCUGUCAUAGACUACCUUGAAAAUGAAAGAGAGUAUGUCCCUUGGCAAGCUGCAAGAAUAGAACUGGCUUAUGUUGCUAGAAUGCUGUCAGUCAGCUCUGCAUAUGGUAGCU
rnacentral:sRNA from 1 species